GACACAUGGACUUUUUUAUUUUGUUGUUACAUAAACUAACAAACUAUUGUACCAAGACAGUAUGUGUUGAAUUACCUGUUCAUAUUUCGAAAUAGGGACUUCUUCAUUCCGUUGUUUUAUAAAUAAACAAAUUAGCGUACCAACACAGAAUAUGUCAAAAAUGGACCUCAUCUUUCUCAGAGACGACCCUUGCUUCUACUUCAGCAACAUCUGUUUCAUGACCGACAUUCCCAUCUACCUCAGAACAACAUCAUUCACAUCUUUUACUGCUUCACGAACAUCAGUCACAUGUUCUUCAGGAACAGCAACAACAUCUACUUUCGAAACAACAUCACCAACUUCUUCAGGAACAAUAACAACACCUACUUUCGAAACAACAUCACCAACUUUUUCAGGAACAGCAAAACACCUACUUUCGGAACAACAUCACCAACUUCUUCAAAAACAGCAACAACACCUACUUUCGGAACAACAUCUCCACCUUCGAUUCUUCAGGAACAACAACAACACAUACUUUCGGAACAACAUCGCUACCUUCUUCGGGAACAAAAACCGGCAACUUCUUCCGACACUACAACACCAACCUCUUCAGGAACAGCAACAAUACCUACUUUCGGAACAACAUCGCUACCUUCUUCGGGAACAAAAACCGACAACUUCUUCCGACACUACAACACCAACCUCUUCAGGAACAGCAACAAUACCUACUUUCGGAACAACACAUUGUCAAUGGAACAUCCUCAAAAAUAUUACCCUGAAAAAUAUACACACACAAACAAAUCGACAUACACUAUAUCAAAUCACUUCCUGCUAACAAACAAAAACCCAAAUUCGAAAAUCCUUGGUGAGAAAAAACCCACUCAAUUGUUAUAAUAAAUUGUAACCCUCCCCCCUUUUAAAAAAGAAAAAAAAAAGCAACCUUUACCGACCGAAUUCUGGUAGAAACUCCCAGAUCCAAAAUCAAGACAAAUAACAUCGCUCUAAAACAUCUGAGAGAUUAAGAUCCAGAAUCUGUAGCAGAGUUGCAGCACCGAAGGAAAGAAAAAGAGUGAGUGGGAAAGCUGAUGAGAAUGAUGGGGAUAAAAACGUAAGAACAAUGGUUAAAAAUAUGGACUCACCGUUGCAGUUGGGAGACCGCGUCGGGAGAACGUUUUCGAAUGACUUCGGAAGAGAAAAUCGUCGGUGUGGCAGAGACUCGAGUUUGGAGAAACAAAAACGAGGAGAUGAGUGUGGUGAGUGAUGGGAAAAACGAGAAAUUUAGCUUUUUGUAAGUAAGAUGGUUAUUACACCGACGGUCCAAAUGCUUGAACACUAU
rnacentral:lncRNA from 1 species